ACCGGCGCACGGGUGAGUAACGCGUAUGCAACCUACCUGUAACAGGGAGAUAGCCCAGGGAAACUUGGAUUAAUACCGUAGUAUUUCAAAGUGGCAUCACUUUGUUUUUAAAGCUUUCGAGCGGUUACAGAUGGGCAUGCGUGCCAUUAGUUAGUUGGUAAGGUAACGGCUUACCAAGACAUUGAUGGCUAGGGGGUCUAAAAGGAUGGUCCCCCACACUGGUACUGAGACACGGACCAGACUCCUACGGGAGGCAGCAGUGAGGAAUAUUGGGCAAUGGGUGCAAGCCUGACCCAGCCAUGCCGCGUGCAGGAUGACUGCCCUACGGGUUGUAAACUGCUUUUCUGCGUGAAGAAAAAGAGUUACGAGUAACUCAUUGACGGUAGCGUAGGAAUAAGCAUCGGCUAACUCCGUGCCAGCAGCCGCGGUAAUACGGAGGAUGCAAGCGUUAUCCGGAUUUAUUAGGUUUAAAGGGUGCGUAGGCGGGACUUUAAGUCAGUGGUGAAAUCCUGCGGCUUAACCGCAGAACUGCCAUUGAAACUAUUGUUCUUGAGUUCAGUUGAGGCAGGCGGAAUGUGUAAUGUAGCGGUGAAAUGCAUAGAUAUUACACAGAACACCGAUUGCGAAGGGAGCUUGCUAAACUGACACUGACGCGGAGGCACGAAAGCGUGGGGAGCGAACAGGAUUAGAUACCCUGGUAGUCCACGCCGUAAACGAUGAUUACUCGUUGUUGGCAAUAUAGGGUCAGCGACUAAGCGAAAGCAUUAAGUAAUCCACCUGGGGAGUACGUUCGCAAGAAUGAAACUCAAAGGAAUUGACGGGGGCCCGCACAAGCGGAGGAACAUGUGGUUUAAUUCGAUGAUACGCGAGGAACCUUACCUGGGCUUAAAUGUAGAAUGACCGGCUUAGAAAUAGAUAUUUCUUCGGACGAACUACAAGGUGCUGCAUGGUUGUCGUCAGCUCGUGCCGUGAGGUGUCGGGUUAAGUCCCAUAACGAGCGCAACCCCUAUUACUAGUUGCUAACAGGUAAUGCUGAGGACUCUAGUGAGACUGCCACCGUAAGGUGAGAGGAAGGUGGGGAUGACGUCAAAUCAGCACGGCCCUUAUGUCCAGGGCUACACACGUGUUACAAUGGCAGGUACAAAGGGCAGCUACACGGCGACGUGAUGCUAAUCUCUAAAGCCUGUCUCAGUUCGGAUCGGAGUCUGCAACUCGACUCCGUGAAGUUGGAUUCGCUAGUAAUCGGAUAUCAGCCAUGAUCCGGUGAAUACGUUCCCGGGCCUUGUACACACCGCCCGUCAAACCAUGGAAGCUGGGGGUGCCUGAAGUCUGUCACCGAAAGGAGCGGCCUAGGGUAAAACUGGUAACUAGGGCUAAGUCGUAACAAGGUAGCC
rnacentral:rRNA from 1 species